GACAUAUUCGAGUUAAAUUCAGCUAUUUUCUACGAAUCUUUUUUUCUUCUUUUUUUUCCUCUUUCGCUAAAGCUCAGACAUCAUAGAAGGAAGGCUGCAAAUACCAAAAGCUCUUCAUUGUCUUCACUUCAUUUUAUCACGAUUUUUUAAAUCUUGAUAUCUUUCCGUUCUUGUACGCAGUAUAUCUGUUCUCACAAAGCGGAUACUAUACUGUGUAUUUCGUUUAGAAGGCGGUAUAUUGCGAAUGUUUCCUCCAGAAACCCCCUUUGGCCGGACGGACUAUAUUAGAGAUUCAAAUCUUAUCUUUGGUAUGUUCAACAGGUUCGCUUGCUAUAUCUGCACAGAGACCGACGUUCGCAUGUUGAGCAAGGAUAUGAUAUGUUAUGAUGUGCCUUAAACGCCCACGAUGAUCUUCCAGGGCACAAUUUAUAUCGCUGUUGUCUCUUCCCCCACCAAAAAAAAAAACAAACAAAGAAAGAAAGAAAGAAAGAAAAAUCAGAUAUUAAAAUAUAUGUCACAAGCCAUGGAAUGACCCCCUUUUAAGUAUCGGAGUCAUGAUGGGAUUAGAAAAAUGGUGGGGUUUGGUUCUGGGAGUUGAGCCUCCUGAGCAUUGUGCGGGGAGUUUUUUUUACAAUGAUACAUGGAAAAUUGAAAAUUUCUUCUGUAUACAGAGAACAGAAAGACAUAUAUUAACAAAUGAGAAGAUACUGUAAAAAAUAAUAUUGGAGGAACAACUUAUUGUUUGAGGCUAUGUGAGAAAAAUAGUUCCAUUAUAUACACUUGGCAAAACUGAUGAUGUUGGUAUUAGAAGGCAUGGCUGGAAAAGAGAGUGAGGAUAAAGCAAUAGCUGGGUGCAUCAAGUUCCUCUUACCCACUACCCACUUUAAGGUAGCCUUAACCACGGAUGCAAAGAUAAAACAUAAGCGACAAAACAUGCACAGCGAAUUGAAUGUACUAUUCUAGAAAAACAGGAGAGCAAGUUGUGUGCGAGAAGUGGGAGAACAGAAUAGAGAGGAAUCAGAAGGAUC
rnacentral:sRNA from 1 species